GAUGAAGAACGUAGUGAAAUGCGAUAACUAAUGUGAAUUGCAGAAUUCAGUGAAUCAUCGAGUCUUUGAACGCACAUUGCGCCCCCUGGUAUUCCGGGGGGCAUGCCUGUCCGAGCGUCAUUGCUGCCCUCAAGCACGGCUUGUGUGUUGGGCUCCGCCCCCCCGGGGACGGGCCCGAAAGGCAGCGGCGGCACCGAGUCCGGUCCUCGAGCGUAUGGGGCUUUGUCACCCGCUCUGUAGGCCCGGCCGGCGCCAGCCGACAACCCAUCAUCCUUUUCAGGUUGACCUCGGAUCAGGUAGGGAUACCCGCUGAACUUAAGCAUAUCAAUAAGCGGAGGA
rnacentral:misc_RNA from 1 species